UCUAUUAAUUGUAGACCCGUAUGAAAGGCACAAUGAGGGCCUACCUGUCUCUUAUAAUUAAUCAAUUAAACUGAUCUUCUAGUAAAAAAGCUAGAAUACGCACACAAGACCAGAAGACCCUGUGAAGCUUAAACUAAACUAUUAAACCCUAUAAUAAUUACUUUCGGUUGGGGCGACCUUGGAAAAAAAAAGAACUUCCAAAUACAUGACCAUAACUCCUAUAUCGGCCUACAAGCCUACACAGACCCAGUAUAACUGACAAUUGAACCAAGUUACUCCAGGGAUAACAGCGCCAUCUUCUUCAAGAGUCCAUAUUAAAAAGAAGGUUUACGACCUCGAUGUUGGAUCAGGACAUCCUAAUGGUGCA
rnacentral:rRNA from 1 species